GUCCCUGUAGCUCAGCUGGAUAGAGCGCAGCCCUCCUAAGACUGAUGUGACCGUUCGAGUCGGUCCAGGGACG
rnacentral:tRNA from 1 species